rnacentral:rRNA from 1 species
CGUAGGUGGCAAGCGUUGUCCGGAUUUAUUGGGUUUAAAGGGUGCGUAGGCGGCUAUCUAAGUCAGUGGUGAAAUAUCUCAGCUUAACUGAGAGGGUGCCAUUGAUACUGGAUAGCUUGAGUACAGAUGAGGUAGGCGGAAUUGACGGUGUAGCGGUGAAAUGCAUAGAUAUCGUCAAGAACACCGAUAGCGAAGGCAGCUUACCAAGCUGUAACUGACGCUGAGGCACGAAAGUGUGGGGAUCAAACAGGAUUAGAUACCCUGGUAGUCCUCACUGUAAACGUUGAUGACUCGAUGUUGGCGAUACACAGCCAGCGUCCAAGAGCAAUCGUUAAGUCAUCCACCUGGGGAGUACGCCGGCAACGGUG